rnacentral:rRNA from 1 species
UACGUAGGUGGAAAGCGUUAUCCGGAAUUAUUGGGCGUAAAGCGCGCGUAGGCGGUUUUUUAAGUCUGAUGUGAAAGCCCACGGCUCAAACGUGGAGGGUCAUUGGAAACUGGAAAACUUGAGUGCAGAAGAGGAAAGUGGAAUACCAUGUGUAGCGGUGAAAUGCGCAGAGAUAUGGAGGAACACCAGUGGCGAAGGCGACUUUCUGGUCUGUAACUGACGCUGAUGUGCGAAAGCGUGGGGAUCAAACAGG